GGCUGGGUACAGUAUACUUUAUUGAUGGUACAAGACAAGGUAGGGCCCCCCAAGCCCCUCCACUUCUGCAAGGGGUCUGAUAUGGAAACUGUUUUAGAGAUCACAAGACUCUCAGUGUAUUGGGGGAUGAGUUAGGGAAGGACAUCUCAGCAGCUAAGGGCCUCUCUCUUCACUUUGCUCUCGCUGAGGCUGGUGGUCUAGGGAGCUCUUACUCCUUGGAGGUCACGUGGACCAUAUGGUCUACUACCUGGUUGCUGUAGCCAAAUUCAUUGUCAUACCAGGAAAUGAGCCUGACACAGUGGUCACUGAGAGCAAUGCCAGCACCAGGAUCAAAGGUGGAAGAGUGGAUGUUGCUCUUAAAGUCACAAGAGACAACCUGGUCCUCAGCAGAGCCCAGCAUGCCCUUGAGGGGGCCUUCUGAUGCCUGCUUCACCACCUUCUUGAUGUCAUUGUAUUGGCAGCUUUCUCCAGGUGGUAAGU
rnacentral:lncRNA from 1 species